rnacentral:rRNA from 1 species
UACGUAGGGUGCGAGCGUUAAUCGGAAUUACUGGGCGUAAAGCGUGCGCAGGCGGUUUUUUAAGUCAGAUGUGAAAGCCCCGGGCUCAACCUGGGAAUUGCAUUUGAAACUGGGAAACUAGAGUGUGUGAGAGGGGGGUAGAAUUCCAAGUGUAGCGGUGAAAUGCGUAGAGAUUUGGAGGAAUACCAGUGGCGAAGGCGGCCCCCUGGCACAACACUGACGCUCAGGUGCGAAAGCGUGGGGAGCAAACAGG